rnacentral:rRNA from 1 species
GACGAACGCUGGCGGCGUGCUUAACACAUGCAAGUCGAACGGAAAGGCCCUGCUUGCAGGGUACUCUAGUGGCGAACGGGUGAGUAACACGUGGGUGUUCUGCCCUGCACUUCUGGAUAAGCCUGGGAAACUGUGUCUAAUACCGGAUAGGAGCCAUUUUUAGUGUGAUGGUUGGAAAGUUUUUUCGGUGUAGGAUGAGCUCGCGGCCUAUCAGCUUGUUGGUGGGGUAAUGGCCUACCAAGGCGGCGACGGGUAGCCGGCCUGCGAGGGUGGACGGCCAAAUUGGGGCUGGGAUACGGCCCAGACUCCUACGGGAGGCAGCAGGGGGGAAUAUUGCACAAUGGGCGCAAGCCUGAUGCAGCGACGCCGCGGGGGGGAUGACGGCCUUCGGGUUGGAAACUCGUUUCGGUAGGGAAGAAGCUUUUUGUGACGGUACCUAGAUAAGAAGCACCGGCUAACUACGUG